AGGUGGUCUUAGGCAAACUGCUUUCACAGAACCUCGGCCCCUCCCCUGCCCCCAGCUUCUGCAAGGUGGCGAUGAUGAUGAUGAUGAUGAUGAUGAUGAUGAUGAUGGUGGAGUUUAUGGGAAUCUUGUAAAAGGAGGACCCUGAAGACGUACCUAUUUUCCUAAGCCUUCAACUGAAACAAAAUUUUAAAAUUUUAAGGUGUUUUGAUCUAUUAUGAUUUUUAUCUUUUUAUGAAUUUAUAAUGUAUUAUAUUUUAUACUAUGUUUUAAUUCUGUACACUGCCUAGAGAUUUUGAUAUUAGGCGGUAUAUAAAUUCAAUAAAUACAUAAGUAAAUAAGUAAAUUAAAUUAGUAUAAUUGCUAA